CUGACGUAAGCUACCUAAACACAUAUUUUUAGAAGAUCUCCAUAAUACCCUAGCACUCUCAGUAAAGGAUACAUGAAGAGAAAGCAGUUGGAGUUCCCACUGUGGCUCAGUGGGUUAGGGACCUGACAUAGUGUACGUGAGCAUGUGGGUUCCAUCCCUGGCCUCGCUCAGUGGGUUAAGGAUCUGGUGUUGUUGCAGGCUGCAGUGUAGGUCGAAGAUGUGGCUUGGAUCCACUGUUGGUGCAACUGCGGUGUAGGCUGGCAGCUGCAGCUCCAAUUCGACCCCUGGCCCAGGAAAUUUCCAUACGCUGCGGGUGCAGCCAUAGAAAGAAAGCAGUCACCCUCGGGAAUAAAAACCACAGCCUCCCACCUCGAUCUUUUUUAUUGUGAGAAAAUGCACCUUAAGUAAAAUUUACUAUUUUAACCAUUUCGAAGUACGCAAUUAAAUGGCAUUAAAUACCUUCCCAAUGUUAUGCCACCAUCACCGCUACCUGAUUUGUUGUCAUUUCAAAAGGAGACCUGUGCCCACUGGCAGUCACCCUGUUCCACUCCCCUGAGGCCCCGGCAGCCCCUAAUCUGCUUUCUCUCUCUAGGGAUUUGCCUCUUCUGGGCGUUUCCCAUACAUGGAAGUGGAGCCUCUUUUUUCUCAGCGAAUGGCUCUGCAGGCACAUCUGUGUUGUAGUUUAAGGCUGAGAGAGGGCGCCCCAGAGGCGGAGGCUGCUCCCACCAGCAUCUUCAUCACUCUACCUGCAGACUAGGAAUUUCUUUCUUUCUUUCUUUUUUUUGUCUUUUUGGGGCCGUACCUGCAGCAUAUGGAGGUUCCCAGGCCAGGGGUUCAGUCGGAGCUGUAGCUGCCGGCCUACGCCAGAGCCACAGCAACACCAGAUCCAAGCUGCAUCUGCGACCUACGCCCCAGCUCAUAGCAACGCCGGAUCCUUAACCCACUGAGUGAGGCCAGGGAUUGAACCUGCGUCCUCAUGGUUGCUAGCCAGAUUUGUUAACUGCUGAGCCACGACGGGAACUCCCAGACUAGGAAUUUCUAACAUUCAGGGGGGUUGCGGUGGGGGAAGCUUCUUACAUCAUCCUGGGAACAUUUAAGCUGGGAAGAGUGUUGGGCUUCUCGUUGCCAUUCUGCCUUUUCCCCUUUUCCACUCUUCGUGUAGAGGAUGCACGUGGUCAUUUGAAUGCGCUGGAAUCGGGAGGCCUCCAACCAGCUCUGGACACAACCUACCCAAGUGGAUCUUUGGCGAUGGCUCUUGCUCCUAGGAAUGCAGGGGAGUUUCCAGAACCCACUGCGCAGGCCUGUAUGACGCAGGCUUCGUUCUUAUAUGAUCGUAUAAAGAUAAAUAAACAGCCUAAGGGUGCUUUCCCUUGCAGCGACCCAGAUAGAAGACGCAGGCCAUGUUCUAAAAGGUCGUGGGUCCCCACCUCCUGUCCAGAGCGGGAGUCCGUCACUGCUGCUCGGUGCUCCCUGGAAACUGGACAAAACGCAGGGGCCCAAAGUGCCCGUAUGCAGUUCCUGCCUCCAGAAGGUAGACUGAGUUGGCCUGGGUUGUGGCUGGGUGGGGGUGGGGGGUCAGAAUUACUUUAUUUUAUUUUCGUCUUUUUGCCUUUUCCAGGGCCGUUCUUGCGGCAUAUGGAGAGUCCCAGGCUAGGGGUCUAAUCGGAGCUGUAGCCACUGGCCUACACCAGAGCCACAGCAACUCGGGAUCUGAGCCAAGUCUGCAACCUACACCAGAGCUAAUGGCAGUGACGGAUCCUCAACCACUGAGCAAGGCCAGGGAUCGAACGCGCAACCUAAUGGUUCCUAGUUGGAUUCGUUAACCACUGAGCCACGAUGGGCACUCCUAUUUUACUUUUUAUUUUUAUAUAUUUUUACAGCCACACCCACUGCAUUAUGGAAGUUCCCGGGCUAAGAGUGGAAUCAGAGCGACAGCUGAGGCCUCCACCACAGCCACAGCCACACUGAAUCCGAGGCACGUAUGCGACCUACACGGCAGCUCAUGGCAACGCCAGAUCCUUAACCCACUGAGCGAGGCCAGGGAUCGAACCCAUGUCCUCAUGGAUACUAGUUGGGUUUGUUACCACCGAGCCACCAUGAGAACGCCAAGAAUCACUAUUUCCUGUUUGUGCUUCGGCCUGGGCCUGGGUCCCCAUCACCUGGAGGCUGACCCACUGCUGUGAGGCAGGAGAAGUGCACCUGCUGGGAGGCCAGCUGGGAGCCACGUGCCUGGGGUCUGGGCAGUGACUCCCUGUGCCACCACCUCCUCGAGGGUCCAAGCUUUAUUUCAGCAGGUGGAGUGGGUGCUGUGACCCCACCUGGAUGGUGCAGAGGUUCGUCUUUAAAUAGGGUCCUACAGUCCCCCAGACAAGUCUGCGUCUGCCAUGGCGCCGUGCAAGGAAAACACAAGUGUGCUCUGAGUCACCUGCGACCGUGCUCCUGUGCGCUGUUCGUUUGCAUGGUCGGGAGUUCGGUGUGUUCAGGUGCAGAGCAGCCGAAGGGUUUCUGGCUUUUUAAAAGACUGGCUCUCCUGCUCUGUCCGUAGCACCCCCAACUUCCCCGCACCACCUCAUUUUUUUCUCGUGGCCAGUGUAAAUUUGCAUCCACUGCCCGGCCCUUCUCCCAGCAGGGCUCUGACCCUGUGAGGGGCCUGAGUCAUCUGGUUGCCACGUGCUGGUGGGAAGAGCAGGUUCGCAGAGCGGACCGGCCAGCAGCAUCCUAUAAAGGAACUGCUGCUCCCAGACUGACCCUCUGGGAGCCAGGCUUGUGCAGGGACGUGCGGGUGGACGGGUUCUGGGAGGGGUGGCCACGUGGAGGUCGAGUUUACAGCUCGCUCGCUGGGUCACCAGCCAUAUGGCUUUGAGCAAAUGUCCUCCUGCGUGACACAAAGAGCGGUGCCAGGCUGGCCUCUGUCCAGGAAGGGACCCUUGGGAAGCUGGAGGGCUGGGAGGUGGGGCCCUCAAAGGAGUCGCCGAGUGUCCCUGCUGUUGAUGUAGCUUCCCUUCAAGGGGCAGCUUCUGAAUUACACACAGCUUCUGAAUGUGCCUGCAGAGGGUGGGGCGCUUGCGUGACAGCGUGACCCGAGCCAUGGGCUCACUUGGAGCAGGGUUGUUCCGUGUGGGCCGCAGGCGCUGGUGAUGUAAACCCACCUUUAAAUGCGGUGUCAUUGUGAGCCUCAGGGUUGUAGGAUUGCAGAGCUUAAAUCUGAAGUGCAGGGGAAUCCUUAUCGUGUCUGAACUUUCAGAGGGUGUCAUCGAUAGAAACGUUACCAUCCUGGAGUUCCCGCUGUGGUGCAGCAGAAACAAAUCCGACCAGGAGCCAUGGCGUUGUGGGUUUGAUUCCUGGGGUCGCUCAGUGGGUUAAGGAUCUGGCGUUGCCGUGAGCGGUGGUGUAAGUCGCAGACGUGGCUCAGAUCUGGCGUUGCUGUGGCUGUGGUGUAGGCCGGCGGCUGUAGCUGAUUACACCCCUAGCCUGGGAACCUCCACGUGCCGUGGGUGCAGCCCUAAAAAGACAAGAGACCAAAGAAAGAAAGAUUGCCAUCCUUAAAGCCUGUAGCAGGUUUCCCAAACCACCAGCCGUGAGAUUCCCCGGAUCACUCCGCCACCCCCCUUAACCUGAGUCUGAGUUGGUUGGGACCGUGAAUGUUGAUUGUCGGUGCUUGAAUUAAGCAUUCUUCUCAAACUCCAGAGUCUCUCGUGGUUAAGACUCAAGCUGUCACGCCCAGAGCCCUUGCUUGGCCCCGAGCCUCUGCAGGUGGAGCCCUUCAGAGCUCUCUGGCCCUGACCUGGGCAGGCGCACACAGCUCUGGCGCACAAGGUCCCUGUGUGCCCAGUGGCUGUAGGGCACACCCCGCCCGGUCCUUGCCCCCAGCCACCAUGGGUGCUGUCCUGCUGCUCGGUCUUGCCCAGAAGCCAGUUCCAGAAGAAGGGGGCUGGUUCUCAGGAGCUGCUGGUUUUCAGGGCUGCUUCCUUGCAUGAGUCUGAGGACACCCCUGGGUUGCAUGUCCUUGUGCAGCAGCCCCCGAGACUCCCCUGAGCAACCUGUGUCGACCAACAAUGAAAUACAGUGUCUUUGACCCUUGGAAAUAGAAGUGUACAGUUGGAGUUCCCACGGGGGCGCAAUGGGGUUGAUGGCGUCUGGGGGGCGCUGGGAAUGCAGGUUCUAUCCCCGGUCUGGCAGAGUGGGUUAAGGAUCCGGCAUUGCAGCAAGCUGUGGCCUAGGUUGAAACUGUGGCUGGGAUCUCAUCCCUGGCCUGGGAACUCCAUAUGCUGCAGGGGGACCAAAAAAUAAUAAUAAUACUGUACAGGUUAACAAUUCCGGUACUACUGCACAGAUCUCCUGGGCUUGAGCAAAUAAGCAAAUAGUGAUUCACCGUGGAAAAAAAGAGGGGAUGAAGUUUUUCUUAAAAUGCCGACGACAGGUAUAGAAAGUGACUGAGUAGGCAAAUGGAUAUAUACGCCCGUUUGUGACUCAAGAAAAGAAGAUUUCUGGGAGUGCCCGUCGGUGCUCAACAGCAAUGAACCAUGAGGACGCAGGUUCAAUCCCUGGCCCUGCUCAGUAGGUUAAGGAUCUGGCGUUGCUGUGGGCUGUGGUGUAGGUCGCAGAUGACGUUUGGAUCAGGUGUUGCUGUGGCUGUGAUGUAGGCCAGUGGCUAUAGCUCUGAUUCCACCUCUAGCCUGGGAACCCCUUUAUGCCUUGGGUGCAGCUCU
rnacentral:lncRNA from 1 species